rnacentral:rRNA from 1 species
UACGAAGGGGGCUAGCGUUGCUCGGAAUCACUGGGCGUAAAGAGCUUGUAGGCGGUUUGUCGCGUCUGCUGUGAAAAUCCGGGGCUCAACCCCGGACUUGCAGUGGGUACGGGCAGACUAGAGUGUGGUAGGGGAGACUGGAAUUCCUGGUGUAGCGGUGAAAUGCGCAGAUAUCAGGAGGAACACCGAUGGCGAAGGCAGGUCUCUGGGCCACUACUGACGCUGAGAAGCGAAAGCAUGGGGAGCGAACAGG